rnacentral:rRNA from 1 species
AAUUUUCGCAAUGGGGGCAACCCUGACGAAGCAAUGCCGCGUGGAUGAUGAAGUAUCUCGGUACGUAAAAUCCUUUCGACGGGGACGAAACCGCAAGGUUGACGGUACCCGUAGAAGAAGCCCCGGCUAACUCCGUGCCAGCAGCCGCGGUAAUACGGGGGGGGCGAGCGUUGUUCGGAAUUACUGGGCGUAAAGGGCGCGUAGGCGGCUUUCUAAGUCGGAUGUGAAAACUCUGGGCUCAACCCAGAGCCUGCAUCUGAAACUGGAGAGCUAGGGUUUGGAGGGGAAAGCGGAAUUCCAGGUGUAGCGGUGAAAUGCGUAGAUAUCUGGAGGAACACCGGUGGCGAAGGCGGCUUUCUGGACAAAUACCGACGCUGAGGCACGAAAGCUAGGGGAGCAAACAGGAUUAGAUACCCUGGUAGUCCUAGCCCUAAACUAUGGAUACUUGCUGUGGGGGGGAUUGAAGCCCCUUGUGGCGAAGCUAACGCAUUAAGUAUCCCGCCUGGGGAGUACGGUCGCAAGGCUG